ACUGGUGCGCGAGAUGAGUAUUCUCAGGCGCUUGAGAGAACUCGGGAGAAGGAACUCGGCAAAUUGACACCGUAACUUCGGAAGAAGGUGUGCCUUUAGUAGGUGAACCCGUACAGGGGGAGCCCAAUGAGGUUGCAAAGAAUCGGUGGCUGCGACUGUUUAAUAAAAACACAGCACUCUGCAAACACGAAAGUGGACGUAUAGGGUGUGACGCCUGCCCGGUGCUGGAAGAUUAAGUGAUGGGGUGCAAGCUCUUGAUCGAAGUCCCAGUAAACGGCGGCCGUAACAAUAACGGUCCUAAGGUAGCGAAAUUCCUUGUCGGGUAAGUUCCGACCUGCACGAAUGGCGUAACGAUGGCCACACUGUCUCCUCCCGAGACUCAGCGAAGUUGAAAUGUUUGUGAUGAUGCAAUCUCCCCGCGGAAAGACGGAAAGACCCCAUGAACCUUUACUGUAGCUUUGUAUUGGACUUUGAACGGAUCUGUGUAGGAUAGGUGGGAGGCUUUGAAGCAGGGUCGCUAGAUCUUGUGGAGCCAACGUUGAAAUACCACCCUGGUGCGUUUGAGGUUCUAACCUAGGCCCGUUAUCCGGGUCGGGGACAGUGCAUGGUAGGCAGUUUGACUGGGGCGGUCUCCUCCCAAAGCGUAACGGAGGAGUUCGAAGGUACGCUAGUUACGGUCGGACAUCGUGACGAUAGUGCAAUGGCAUAAGCGUGCUUAACUGCGAGACUGACAAGUCGAGCAGAUGCGAAAGCAGGACAUAGUGAUCCGGUGGUUCUGUAUGGAAGGGCCAUCGCUCAACGGAUAAAAGGUACUCUGGGGAUAACAGGCUGAUACCGCCCAAGAGUUCAUAUCGACGGCGGUGUUUGGCACCUCGAUGUCGGCUCAUCUCAUCCUGGGGCUGUAGCCGGUCCCAAGGGUAUGGCUGUUCGCCAUUUAAAGAGGUACGUGAGCUGGGUUUAAAACGUCGUGAGACAGUUUGGUCCCUAUCUUCCGUGGGCGCUGCAGAUUUGAGGAAGCCUGCUCCUAGUACGAGAGGACCGGAGUGGACGCACCUCUGGUGUACCUGUUGUCACGCCAGUGGCAUUGCAGGGUAGCUAAGUGCGGAAGAGAUAACCGCUGAAAGCAUCUAAGCGGGAAACUCGUUUCAAGAUGAGAUCUGCCGGGGCCUUGAGCCCCCUGAAGAGUCGUUCUAGACCAGGACGUUGAUAGGCUGGGUGUGGAAGCGCAGUAAUGCGUUAAGCUAACCAGUACUAAUUGCUCGUGCGGCUUGACCCU
rnacentral:rRNA from 1 species